GAGAGAGCUCUGCUGCUCAUAUGCUGAUUGCUGAUGGCGUGCCGAGUUCACCAUGCACGCCUAUCGGUGCACUCUGUCGCCACCGUCCUGAUCUGGUACACUGGCGACUCGCCGCCGCCCCUGCACCACCUCCGGUUCAGGGCUUGCCGAUCCACUGCUGCGCGGCCAAGCCAGUCCUCGGAGUGCCGGAGCUCAAACGGCGGCGGGCGGACGUGCGGGUAGUCUGGGAAGCGACGGCCGUCAGAGGGAUCGAAGAGCGGGAACGACUGGCGGCGGCGCGCGCAGGCCGCGGCGUCGUUGGCCCGCAGGCAGCCGUCGAUGACCCGGCACUCGUCCCGCAGCCGGCUCUGGAUCGUCUCCCGCGCCGCCUUGCUCCUGGACGCCGCCGGCGCCGGCGCCUGGUGGCCGGACGCCGGCUGGGACCACCUGGCGGCGUAGCGGUCGUGGCACGCGGCGCAGAAGCUGCCCCGCCGCUCCAGGUCGAAGGCCCGCCGCCUCGCCUGGUCCGUCA
rnacentral:misc_RNA from 1 species